UACGUAGGGGGCAAGCGUUGUCCGGAAUCAUUGGGCGUAAAGAGCGUGUAGGCGGCCAGAUAAGUCCGCUGUGAAAUCUCGAGGCUCAACUUCGAGCUGUCGGUGGAAACUGUCUGGCUAGAGUCCGGAAGAGGAGAAUGGAAUUCCUGGUGUAGCGGUGAAAUGCGCAGAUAUCAGGAAGAACACCCGUGGCGAAGGCGGUUCUCUGGGACGGUACUGACGCUGAGACACGAAAGCGUGGGGAGCGAACAGG
rnacentral:rRNA from 1 species